UCCUGGUUUCCCAGGCAGUCUCACCAGAGUGCCUAUUAAAAAAUAGUAGCAACUGGCAAUAGGGGUUGCGCUCGUUAGAGGACUUAACCUAACGUCUCACGACACGAGCUGACGACAGCCAUGCAGCACCUGUGCAGCUGUCUAGACCGAAGCCUAGAAGACCGUAUUUCUACGGUUGUCAAAAGCAUGUCAAAUCCAGGUAAGGUUCCUCGCGUAUUGACGAAUUAAACCACAUGUUCCACCGCUUGUGCGGACCCCCGUCAAUUCCUUUAAGUUUUAGCCUUGCGACCGUAUUCCCCAGGCGAAUCACUUAACGCGUUAGCUACGACACUAAUCUAGCAGAGCCAGACUAACGUCUAGUGAUCAUCGUUUACAGCGUGGACUAC
rnacentral:misc_RNA from 1 species